GUGAGGAAUUUUCCGCAAUGGGCGAAAGCCUGACGGAGCAAUGCCGCGUGAAGGAUGAAGGCCUAUGGGUUGUAAACUUCUUUUCUCAGAAAAGAAUUAUGACGGUAUCUGAGGAAUAAGCAUCGGCUAACUCUGAGCCAGCAGCCGCGGUAAGACAGAGGAUGCAAGCGUUAUCCGGAAUGAUUGGGCGUAAAGCGUCUGUAGGUUGUUUAAAAAGUAUUCUGUCAAAGAUUAGGGCUUAACCCUAGAUAGGCAGAAUAAACUUUUAAGCUAGAGUUUGGUAGAGGCAGAGGGAAUUCCCGGUGGAGCGGUGAAAUGCGUAGAUAUCGGGAGGAACACCAAAGGCGAAGGCACUCUGCUGGGCCAAUACUAACACUGAGAGACGAAAGCGAGGGGAGCAAAUGGGAUUAGAUACCCGUGUAGUCC
rnacentral:rRNA from 1 species